rnacentral:lncRNA from 1 species
ACACAGGACAAUUUCUUCUUCCAAAUUCUGUUUCAGUUCAAUCUUGCUUCUUUUGGGCUUUUUUCAGAUGAUGUUGGAAUACCACUGGUUUGGAGCAAGAGAUCCCUGUGUUUGAUUACACAUCUUGGAGCAGAAGACCAAAGUGGUAUUUAAUAAACCAUCACCUUUGCCAAAAGCAGCAUAAUCAAAUCCUGUGAAAUGGGCAAUUGCUGCAACGGAGAUAGCUUGAGCUGGUGUGCUGGCAGAGCGACAGCUGCUUGUCUCUUGGCUACUGCUGAGCCAGGUUCAAGAGCUUGAACACGGCUUUGAGCUCUGGCAGCGAGUCUCAGAGGCACUGCAUGCUCAAGCAUCCCAAGGGCAGCAAACCCCCCUUGCAUCAGUGCCUGCCACCCAGUCUGUGAAGUGGUUUUGCAUCAGCUCCAAGAGCAAGAGGCAAAAGAGUGAGUGAGAAAGAGAGAUGUUCACUCAAACUGGCAGCUGCCUUUUGUUUCACGAUGGCAGCUGCCAGCAAGAGACAGGCAGGGCAAGGGAAAAACACACAAGAGCAACACGCUAGAUGCAAAGCAUAUUACACGCUAGAUUUAAAAUAAAAUAGCAUGCAUGAGGGGUAAAUAUUCAGCAUAAUGCAUGACGACUCAGCCCCGUCAUUCUCCUUCCAUUUCCUAGGAGCUGUGGGACUGGAUCUCCCAGGGCAGAGCUGGCCAUCCUGGAAGAAAAGACAGGGCCAACACUCAAAUUGUAUAAGCAAAGGAAGCAAGUGCCUAAACAUUGACUUUUUUCAUCCACUUGAGACAGGUGAAAGGAGAAAUAUCACUUCAGUGGAGAAGGGUGGUCUGUGGAUGAUCCUGUACAGUGGGCUUGUUGUUUCUCUCACUUCUGACAGCUCGCUUGCUUCCUCUCCUUGCGGGACUUUAUUUCAGUCAGUUUGAUGUUUCUGGCAGGGUGAUGGCUUUGGAGCCUGAUUCCCCCCUCCUCUGCAGAGGCAGUGCUGGCAGUAGUGCUGCACAUCUUUCUCCUCCUCCAUCUCAGCCUCCCAGCACCACCUCCUGCACCAGGGGAAGCCCUUUGUCACACCAGGAUCCACUGUCAAUCAGCAGCCGGGACCUGGGCAAUGCUGAGCAAGGCCAUGACUCCUUGGGCAAGAGGCUGUGCAAGCAUGGAGGAGAAAAAUGGGAAGCAUGCCAGAGAAAUCACAGGCAGCAUCAGACCUACAAUGGUGCAGAGUUUGAGUCAUCCCAAGACCCUGAAAAUACAAACAACUCACCAGCACCUAGUGGUGCUCAUACCGUCAGUCUGCUGGCUGAGAACACAAGGGCUGAUGCCAUAGGUGAGCACAUCUCUACCUAAAAAUUCUUAUUCCUGGUUUUGAGCAGUUGCAGACAUCUGCAGCGUUUGUGCCAUUGAUCUGCUGCAGAAUGCCAUAGCAGCCUCAAAGCAGUUUUGUGGUGACCACAGUGGUCACAGGACAUAGGUAAGACAAAGUCUGUGUGUAGAGACAAUAGCUUUCUAAAGACCAACUUAUUAUAGGUGGGAAAAUUAGACCAGCUUAUUCAGGACUCCAAAAGCCACUUCUUGAAAUGCCUCCAAAUAGAAAACAAUCAGCACAAGUGACCAAUGUCCUCCUGACAACUAAAGCUCAGAUUUUCCCUUCCAGCAAGGGAUUUAGUCAGGGUCAGUUUUGUACCAUCCACCCUUCAGAAGAGCCUGUUGUCCCCCAGAAAGUGCUGAGGUGCUUCUAGAGACCCAGAGUGGUUCUGUCAUUGAGCCAUUCCCCUGUUACGUAGGUGCUCCUGGCCUGCCUGACAUUGCCCUGCUGGCUGGCUGUAAGAUCUUGUUCCUUUUGGGAUUCCCCCUUGCAUGACACAGAGAUGAGACCUCCUUCCUGCCCAGCACUGCCUUUCUCAUGGAGCUGGAAAAGCCACAGCAGCAUGGGACAGCACAUUUGGGAUGGAGCAUACUCAUGAAGAGAGUUUAUAUCUGUCCUGGGGUGACUUUAUAUCCCAACUUGCAAGGGUCCCAGUACCACCCUCCCAUGGAGGCAUCACAUCCCCUGCCUGCUCUCUUUCAGCUGGGCUCUCCUUCCAAUAGCCAGAACAAAAUCAGCAUUUCAACAGCAGUGACACUGUACUGUACAUCCCUCUGCAGCCCUUGCCAAAGCACCAGUCACACGCUAUUUACCACAAGCCAGAGAAUUCACUAAAUCUGGCCUAUUUUGAGUCAAACAGGGCAGUUCCAGCCCUUAGGAGGACAGCCCUGCCAGCUGCCCUCCCUCCUGCACAAUAGGGAGAGGAAGGGGACAUCCAUCUCCGGAGCCCAGGCUGAGAGCAGUGUGUGCAAGGAGACAGGUGGCUGGUGGGGAACCACAAUGGAAAGGCAAUUGCACAGCACCUCUUACAUAGUACAGGCACGUGGAAAAGGCAGCGAGCAGCCUGAGCCAAUUAAUUUCCAUAUUCCCUUUCAGUCAGAUCUCAAAACGAAGCGUGUUGCAUUCAGAGCCAGGACACUCCACAGGGGAAGGGGGGAAGAAAAGAAAAAGGGGAAAAAAAAAAAAUGAUUCAGCAAUCGGCGAAUUCAGAGAAAGGGCAGGAGGAAUGGGCCUGAAGAGAUGAAUCAGCAUUGGCUUCAGGUGAUGGAGGGAAGGAGGCAUUUCUGCUCUGCUGAUUUGUGCAGCCUGAUUGAAGUCAGCCCAGCACUGGCACUGCAACCGAACGGAAACUGCCUGAUAGGCUGCAAGGGGAAAAAUCCAGCAGUCACGCAGACAUCUCUAUUAAGUACAUUUUGUGACCUCCCAGCUGAUUGGACUUUUUUUUUUUACUUACUUAUAGUAGGUCUUAUAGAUGCUGGGGGUGGUGGUGGAGGGAUUGUUGUGUGGGGUUUUUUAUGUAUAUGGUGAUGGGGUGUGGGGUAGUGAAUUUUAAGCAGGGCUGCAUGAAAUUCAAUCGCUUAAUCUUAAAUUACAAGCCACUGGCUGCCAAAGCAGUUUUUUUGAGAUGGAAAUUCUUCUGAUUCAGAGAUUCCUUUGCCUAUUUUAAGGAACAAAUGAGUAAACAAACUAUGAAAAUGUUGUUUGUUUUUUCAGAAUUUUCUAGCAGAGAAAUAAUAUUUUUUUUCUGUAGCAUUUGGCAGGGCCUCCUUUCCCAUCUGUAGCAGGUAGCUAGGAGAAUGUGAUUCAUGAUGAACAGAUAUGGUUUCCAACACUUUUCUAUUGUAUAGACAAGAGCUGAGCUAUUGGUUAAAAUGUCCUAUGGAUCUUAAUUGAAGUUUACCGGAGAUUACAAAACCCAUUCCAGUCCCCUUGGAAGCCCUAGUGGAAGCAGAGGGCCAAAAUAUUUAUAGAGGAUUUACCAAAUGAUUUGGUAAAAUGCUAAGAGUCCUUAGUCAGCCAGGUAAAGCCUCCUGGGAUUACCCAAGGAUUACUCACUGAGUAAUUGUUGCAGACUCAAACUCUUCUGUGCCCACUCUCUGGCAAUCAAGUUGUAGGAAGAGCACUCUUCAAAGGAGAUAAAUAGCCAGGCAUGACUGCUGGAGUGGGUGCUAAGAGGUUCUGAAAACACAGCCCUGAGUCUCAUGCAAGCACCAGGCACCCAAAAUGAGUAGGUGGUUUUGGGAAGAAUCACCUGCUCCUCUCUGGGAUUUGUGCCUCUGGGAGCAGCACGUUUGGGGCUGUGAUGAGACCACCCAAUGCACCAAACACUGCAGAGCUCUUCAGUGCCCUGCUACUGGAGCUGCAGAAGUGCCGCUGGACCAGGCAGCUUUCCAUGUCAGGAAGUGCAGAGAUCAAAGAAGGUGUUAACUAUCAGCACGCUCAUUCCCUCACAUUAAGCCACCAAGAGUGUUCUGAGGAAUAAACAUCAUGAACUCAGUCA